UUCAUUCUUAUAUUUAUGGUGGUCCAAACAAGUUUUCAAAUGAAAUAUUAAGAUAAGAUUUGAGUGUUUAAAAAAAAUUGAUUACAUAAACAAGUUCUAAUCUAGGAUAUUAUAAGAUAGUCCAAAGGUUAAUACACAUUAUCCAAAAAAUACAAAGUGUUACAAUUGAAUAAACAAGGUUAUGCUGCAUGUCCAGCUAUUGAAAACAGAGCCUUCAAAGAAACCAUUGCCAAAAGACCAUCCUUUGGAUUGAAGCACCCUAAACCAAAUUCCCUCAUGGAACUGGUACAGCAGUCGUCCGUUCCCACUUGAAAUUGGAUUUGCCUUUGCGACCUGCGAAGAAAUAAAAGCUUAAGUCAAAAGUCUUAUCAUAAGCACUUAAAAAACUGAAGAAUAAUUAAUAAUUAAUCAGGUAAAAGCUUUGCACAGAGGACCACAAUGAACGCCCAUAAAUGUAUUUCGCUACAAGUUCAACAGUAAUGAAUCCACAAAAUAAAAAUCCCACGAAAUCUGGGAUGAGCAAAAGAUAUCCUGACAGAUUAUCCUAGGAGUUACUAGCUCAUCAUGAAGAGGAUAAGCUACACAGUCUCAAUAUUAGUACCCAGAGAUAACACUGAGUAAAAAAAAACCAUUAAUUUUCGGCAAGAAAUCAAAAUAACUUUUCAUCAACACAACCAUCUAAAAGCGCUCAAAGGUAAAGAAGAACGGAGGAAGACGAAAAGAGUUAAAAAUUUAGGAGGAAACUUAUCUUGAACGCCGCGGAGAAGACGUCGCCGACGAUCCACUUCCGAUCAAGUAUACCCCUUCUUUCUCCUUCGCUUAAAAUAUUUGCAUCAUUUUAUUCGCCUCGAAGAGCUGACCAAAACCCCCAUAACAAUUGCUUGAAAUCUCCGCCGUAUAGCUUCAUUUGCAGAGUUAGGGUUUGACCUUGAAUGUUUAUAUUUAAUUUGUUUUUGUGUUUGUUUGGCUUGAGGAGGAGAUUUAUAUGGUUUGGUUUGUGAAAAUUUCCGUUUAGGAUUUUGUGUGUGAUUUAAGAUCUCCGAUCUGAGACACUGGUUAGCCUUUUGUUGUUUUCGUGACCGGAUCUGUGAUCGUGAGGUUAGAAUAGGUAGGGUUGGUGUUUCGAGUUUAGACUUUGGGGUAGAGGUUCGCCGGAGAAGAAGGUGGCGCCGCCGCCGUUGGCCGGCCACCACCGUCUUCUCCGGCAGGUCGCGACCGAAGGGAUGGUCGGAAAUUGCAGAUCAAUUUCUUUCAUUUUCAAGUGAAGAGAGAGAAGGUAGGUUACAAAAUGAAGUUGUUCUGUUGAAGUGGGGAUUUAAGGCGUGGCCUUUUGGAUAAGUACGGUGGUGACAAGUGUCUCCACCGUGGACACUUGUCACCGGUUGUUUGAACUUUUCUAGUGGAUUCUAUGUGACGCUCAUGGACCUUUACCGUGCACUAGCAUAUUUAUCGUUCGUCCACCCUUGUUGACUUAAUCAAGUCACGAGAUCUAACGGCCUUUGAUUCGGAUGCACGGUUAAUUCGUUGACCAGGAGAUCCACUGGAUUCAUGGGCUGAGGCUGGGGCCUCCGAAUUGGGCCCAAAAUCUUGCCUUUUCGCACCCCUUUACUGUCAUGCAGUAAGCCCAUCUUUUAAAUACUACUUAUUUAUUUUCACCAAUUUUCUCUUCCCAUAUUUUUAUGUAAAAUAUAUAUAUAUAACUAUUAUUACCAUAAACUUAAUUUAGCUAUUUCAUUUACUUAACUAUUAUUUUAAAUAUUUAUUUGUAAAACUCAAAAUUAAUCAUGGAUUUGAUGCUUUAUUUGUAAACUUAAAAUUAAUUGUUAAUUUAAUUUGUAUAUUUGUUUGAGCCAUCAUUUUCGUAUAUGUUUAUUAAACUCAUUGGUGCAACUUCUAGGUCCGAAUGAAUCAUGUUCUAUCUCAUAUCUUUUCAUAUUAGCAUUCAUCAUUUAAUUAUCAUAAUAAAUCAUUAAAAUCACACAAUUCUCGAUUCAAAGGUCGAGCCUAUUUUCAAACACCCUUGUAAGCCGAUUGCUUUUAAGCAUCGCCAUCAACCUCACGUAGCUUGCUCUUGGGCUUUCUUACAAUGAGACCUAGUCGAUUAUUAAUUGACCGAUUAGAUGAACUAUUCACUAAAUAAAAUCCACUUCAUUCGUAAACAUAAAUUUAAAACCUCGAUCCAACAUCGAGUAUUCUUUAUUAAAAUUAAAUUAAAAUACCUAAUCACAAUUAGAUAUCAUUUCAUUUGGAAAUGAAAUAGGAGAUGGUUUUAAGUUUUCAACUCCUCUCAUCGAUUAUUUGAAUACGAGUUCUUUUACUCGGUUAGUCGAAUAAUCGUCAUUUCUAAUCCACUUAAGCAUAAUUCAAUCAAAGCGUUCUUACAAUAAAUAAAAAAAAUGAAAUGGGGAAUGGUUUUGAGUUUUCAACUCCUCCCCUCGAAUGUUUGGAUACGAGUUUUCUUACUCGGUCAGUUAAACACUCGUCAUUUUGUUAUAAACUUCUAAAACCCGAUUAAAUCAAAUUAUUUUCAUAAUAAGCUAAAUGAAAAGGGAGAUGACUUUGAGUUUUCAACUUCUCACCCCAACUGUUUGAAUACGAGUUCUCUUACUCGGCCAGUCAAACAAUUGUCAUUUUUUACAAAACGUACAACUUAGUCAAAUCAUUUUCAUAACAAAUUAUACGAAAAAGGAGAUGGUUUUGAGUUUUCAACUCCUCUUCUCAAAUGCUUGGAUAUAAGUUGUCUUACUCAGUCAUUCAAGUACUUGUCGUUCAUUCUAAAAUACGUCAACCAUACGCAAACUAAUUUUCAUAAUCACUCAGGUGAAAAAGAUGUUGGUGUAAGCCCUAGAGGCCAAUACCUUUUGGUACUUGUAUCGAAUUAUUUAUUAAUUAUAAAAGGCAUUUUCUUUAUUAUGGUUGAUUAAUAAAGCCCCUGGAAUAGAUAGUCCGUUUAAUGUAUUAAGUGUGACUUAAUCAUGAGAACACAUUAAACUUAAGAACGGUAUUCUUAAAGUAUCCGUAGUCGAGCUUUAGUGUGAAGUGGGAUAACAUUAAAGCAUUAAGACUAUUAUGUUUGUAGACUGAUGAUCACGUCUCAUGGAUCAUGGAUAAAAAGUUAUCAAGUCUUAAACAUAGGUAUGAAUAUUAGGAGUAAUAUUUAUACCGGAUUGACCCGCUAUGAGAAUACUAUAUCAAACGUUAUGCAAAGUGUCAUAAGUUAUUCUCAUGGUGAUAAUAGUGUAUUCCACUCUUCGACCUGAAACCACUAUGGACCCUAGAUGUAGAGUCGAGUGCUUUAUUGCUGAUCCAACGUUGUCCGUCACUUGAUAACCAUAAAGACAGUUAAUGGGUACUCCACAAAGCAUGCUGAGGGACAUGAGUGACCUAGAUGGAAUUUGCCGAUCCUGCAUAACAGGAUAAAUGUCUAUGGGCCCCAAUAUUGAACUGGACAAGGAUGACACGGUCUAUGCCUUGUGUUUAAUAUAGACAUAAGGGCAAAAGGGUAAUUAUACACAUAAGUAUUAUCACAAAAGGAAUUGUCAGAUCACAUGACAUUUUUGUGUUUGGGUAGCAGUGAUGUGUUGCUAGAUAUCGCUCACUUUUUAUUAUGUUAAAUACGUGAUUUAAUAUAUUGUCAACGCGCGAAAACCUACAGGGUCACACACAAAGGACGGAUUGAUGAGAGAUAGAGUAACUAAGGAAUACCGUAAGGUACGGUGCCCUUAAGUGAGUUAUGGAACAUCGUAAGGUACGGUGUACUUAAGUAGAAUACUAAAUAUGGUAAGGUACCAUGUGCUUAAGUGAUUUUGGGCAUAUUAUAAGAUAUGGGCCAAAAUACACUUAAGUGGGAUUUUAGCUUGAAGCCCACACAAGUGGUUCUAUAAAUAGAACCCUUGUGCAGAAGCAUUAAUUGCAGUUGCAUUAUUUCGUUUUUUCUCUCUCUCUCUCUCACUCAAAGCCUUCAUUCGUACCAGCUAGCACUGAGAUUGAAGGAAUCCGUUCGUGUGGACUGAGUAGAGACGUUGUCAUCGUUCAAUGUUCGUGAUCACUUCGUGGAUCUGCAUCAAAGGGUUUUAAUCGUCAUAAGAGAUUUGCACCAAAGGUUUCAAUCGUCACAAGAGGUAAAUAUUUUAUCACUGAUCAUGACCAUUCGUAAGGAUUUCUAAAGGAGAAAAUUUUAAUUUCCGCUGCGUUUUGGACCACAAUUCUCCUUCAAAAGAAAGUGGUCUAGAGUCUUCUAUUCCCUUUCCCGUUUAUUAGGAUACGAGUUGUCUUAAUUGAUUAUCCGAGUAUUCGUCAUCCAUUUAAAACACCUUAACUAUUAUCAAAUCCUUUGUAUAAUUAAAGAUGAAAAAGAAAGUGGUCUAGAGUCUUCUCUUCCCUUUCCCGACUGUUAGGAUACGAGUUGUCUUACUCGAACAUCCAAGUAAUUGUCAUCCAACCAAAAGUAUCUCAACCAAUCAUCCAACAUAUUAAUCCAACUUGUCACCCCCGUGUGGCCAAAACUCUUUUCAAAAAGACGCUGUUUAAUCCCUUCUAACGCGCAUAACAAACUAGUGCUCAAGCCUCCGCCGAGAGUAGACAAGCCAAAAUUUAGCCUUUAAAAUGCGAUCUAAACAGAUGUUCAUUAAAAAACACACCAACCAACCGUAGUUCCCCGAACUAUAAAUGCUCUGAUUUCCUUAUUGCACCAUAAGGAUAAGUAGGCAAGAGAUUGUUGUAUCUUCGCGAGCACACUAAUAAAAAACCUCCCAUUUCCCCCUUCUGAGGUCUUCAUCCAUAUCUAUUAUCAACUCUAAUUACUCGAAUAAAACAAACAAACAUAAAUUAACACUCAAAUCACAUAAUUGAACUAAAAGGUUUCCGUUGAGUACAACGAACGUGAAGGGUGCUAAUACCUUCCCCUUGCGUAAUCCACUCCCGAACCCGAAUAUGGUUGCGACGACCAUUAUUCUUAUUUUUAAAGGUUUUAUCGCUAUUUUCCUAUUCCUUCAUGGGAAUGAAUAAAGUUCGGUGGCGACUCUUUUUCGAACUAAACAUUUUUCCGCGUCCAUCGCGAGGGAUCACAUUUUUUUUGAGGUGCGACAGAGGGCGACUUUGCUGGGGAUUAGCUCCAAGCAAAAGAGAGUGAAGCCUAAUUUAGUUCAGUUGAUGUAUUGUGUGUUAAUUUUGUUUAUUUGUUUUUUAUUUAUCCUGUUAUAAUUAUUGUCUGGUGUUUUAUUGGCUAUGUAUUAUUGGGGUUCUCUGGUUGGUGAUACUUUGUGAGAUAGGCUCUCCACCCGAGUCUGAGAAAAACCAUAAGAUUAAGUUGGUGGUUGCGUAGUGAAGAUAGGCUCUCCACCCGAGUCUGAGAAAAACCAUAAGAUUAAGUUGGUGGUUGCGUAGUGGACGCCCACAAGGAGUCUUCCUUGUUGGGAAGAUACGAAGACCCCGCCUAGAGGAGAUUCUCUUGAAAUAUUAUUGCCCGACAAGUUUUCGUCACGAUGAUAGUAUUCUCAAGUUGGAUCAAUGACUCUAGGGACCUUUAUACCCACUAUAUCUGGCGGUUAUGUAAUAUUUACAUGAAAAGUCCCAAACUUAUUGGGUUAAUAUGAAAGCCCCAAUCAGAUGAGAUCCCUUAGGCGUAUUACUACCUUACAGUAGUAUUUCCAAUCUCGAUCUAUGACUCUGAGAACCUUAUUAGAACCUUGGACUCAAGAGUUGUGUAGUAUGGACCCACUAGGAUUUUUCCUCUUUGGGACCAUACGAAGGCCUCACCCAGACGAGACUAUUUUUGGGGAUGUUAUUGGUGGAUGAGCUUUCGUCAUGACAAUAACCUUCGUAAAUAGUGAUUGAUGACUUUGUGAACCUCUUAAAUUUAGCAUUAUUCCAAAAGGGUUUUGUUUAGUAACCAAGGAUACCCAUUCUCAAGGCUUGUGUGUUGACCUACCUGUGGCAUGCAUAACAUCAUUCAUAACAUGACAUUCAUAUUAUUUUAUUUCCAAGGAAUCUGAGUAUCAUAAGUUGUAGGAAUUCAAGAAGCUUGGAAUCAAGCAAAAGAAACAUUCACUCUUUCAAGUUUAAAGACCCCGAUCUAAGGAGAUUAUAUGACUUGGUCUCUCAGAUGCACCCGGUGUACAUAAUCAACUUUGGAAAGAAUUAUGGAAAUCUGCUCAACAUCCUCAACCAACGAGUGGACCAUACAACUUUAGUCACUCUAGCUCAAUUCUAUGACCUACCUUUAAGAUGUUUCACAUUCCAAGACUUCCAGCUAGCACCAACUUUGGAAGAAUUCAAGCGUCUUGUUAGGAUUCCUAUGAAGAACAAGCCACUAUUUGAAGGGAUAGAUGAAUCUUUGCCCCUUGAGAUCAUUGAUAGCAUGCUUCACAUGGACGAAAGGGAAGUAGAGGCUAACCUAGAGACCAAAGGGAAUACCAAAGGAUUUUCGCUAAGUUUUCUCUUGGAAAGAGCCCAUACCCUACUAAAAGCAGAAAGUUGGGACGCUUGUUACUCAGCUAUUGUGUUGGCCAUCUAUGGAAUCGUCCUGUUCCCAAAUAUGGAUGGUUUCAUAGACAUGGCUGCUAUUUGCGUUUUCCUUACUGGAAACCCAAUACCCAUCUUGUUAGCUAAUGUUUACUAUUACAUGAGCCAUAGGUACACCAAGAAGAAAGGGGUGAUUGCUUGUUUUGCUCCUUUACUAUAUCAGUGGUUUCUUGAGCAUCUUCCAAAGACAGGUGUUUGGGUAUAACAGACAGAUGUUAGUUGGCCUCAGAAAUUGGGAUCACUCCGAUCCGAAGAUCUUUCUUGGUAUUCCAAAGAAUACAUCAACAUGGACAUCGUAUUCAGCUGCGGAGAUUUCCCUAAUCUACCACUAAUUGGAACUCAAGGAUAUGUGAAUUCUAACUCGGUUCUAUCACUAAGACAACUUGGCUACCCAAUGGAAGGCCCUACAAAGGCAAGGUCUUUGGAAGCUUUUUUGUUGCUUGGCUUUAGGUUUGAGAAUCCUAGCUUGUUCCAACGAAUCAAAGAGGCUUGGAAGAGUGUCAAUCGAAAAGGGAGAGCUGAUUUGGGGAGAGCUAAUGGGAUUACAAAAGAACCAUAUUUUCAUUGGGUAAAGGAAAGGGUGGAGAUGAUCAAAAUGCCAUUUGUCACUCAGACACCUGUACCUCUUCCUGAACCUAAGCUCACCCAUGUCCCUAUUGAAGAAGUGGAUGUACUCAAGACCACCAUGGAAAAGUUAGAAAGAGAGAAUGAAGAGUUGAAGUUAAAACUCCAACAAGUCAUCAAUGAGAAAAACACCAUGAAGUGGGAGCUUGAGAGAAUGGAUGUACAACUUCAAGCACAUGUGGAAAAAUUCAACAAAGAAGAGCAUAAGAGGAAAAAGAUCAAAGUGGGACUAGAACAAGCUGACCAUUGUCUAGAUACUCUUAAGGGUCAAUUACGACGAGCCCAGAAAGAAUGUCAAGACAAUGAGAAUUGGUGGCAUCUGGCCACAAAUGAAAACAAGACGAUAAGAGAUACACUUGGGGAUCAUAUAAAAGAACUCACCAUUUCUGUUCGUCAUGCAAAGGCUGAAGCGAAUCAAGAACGUCGACUCAAAAAUAUAGCCACCGAAGCUUCUAGAGUUUCACCCAUGAUAUGGGAGGAGAAGUGUCGAGAAAUGAGAGACGCAAAAGAGUCUGCCAACUAUUGGAAGAGCCAGCUAGAGUUAUUACACCAAGACAACUCCAUAUGGUUGAAGGAACGAGAGUAUGUAACUGAAGAUUAUGAAUCCCUUAAGAAGACCAUAAACUUCUUGCAAGGAGAUAGGGAUAAGUUUCGUGCAAAGAUCGAUGGGCUAGUGGGGUUCUGUAAUUGGGCGGUUAAAGAAUUAUCAUGGAAGUUAAGAGACACAGUUGAAGAGUUGAAGGAAGAUAGCACACCUCCAACCAUAAUCAGUUUUAUUUUGCUCUGUAGAGGGUUGCUGAAGAGAUUCAAGGAAGAACUAGAAGAGCUCCAAACCAGAAAGCCUGCAAUUUAAUUUUCCUAUGUCUUAUAUUUUGUUCCUUUGACAAUGUAUUUUGAACUAGGGCCUUUUUGGACCCCUAUGUUAUGUACUUGAAUGAUUGACGUUUAAAAUUACUCCAUUAUUGCUAUUCUAAGUAUUUCUUGUUUCUUAGAAUUACUAACUGUCGCACCUCGAAAAAAUGCGAUCCCUCGCGAUGGUCGCGGAAAAGUUUGUGUUCGAACAGAGUCGCCACCUAACUUUAUUUAUCCCAAUGAAGGAAUAGGAAAAUAUCGAUAAAACCUUUAGGAAAUGGAAUAAUGGUCGUCGCAACCAUAUUCGGGUUCAGGAGUUGAUUACGCCAGGGGAAGAUAUUAGCACCCCUCACGUCCGUUGUACUCAAUGGGAACCUUUUAGUUUGAUUUUGCGAUUUGUAUGUUAACUUAGGUUGUUUGUUAUCUUCGGGUUAUAAAUAUAUUGAAAGGAGAUGGAUGGAAACCUCAGAAUGGAGAAAAGGGAGGUUUUUUAUUAGUGUGCUCGCGAAGAUACAACAAUCUCCUGCCUACGUAUCCUUAUGGUGUAGUAAGGAAGUCAGAGCAUUCGUAGUUCGGGAGACUACGGUUGGUUGGUGUCUUUUAGUGAACAACUAUUUAGAUCGUGUUCUAAAGGCUAAACGCUGGCUUGUCUACUCUCGGCAGAGGCUUAAGCACUAGUUUGUUAUGCCCAUUAGAAAGGAUUAAAUGGUUUCUUUCUGAAAAGAGCUUUGGUCACACUGGGUGAAAAGUGGGAUUAAUAUGUUAGAUAUUUUGAUUGGUUGAGAUGUUUUUAAUUGGAUGACGAUUACUCGGAUAGUCGAGUAAGGCAACUCGUAUCCUAACAGUCGGGAAAGGGAAUAGAAGACUCUAAACCACUUUCUUUUUCAUCCUUGAUUAUAAAAAAAAUUAUAGUAAUUAAGGUGUUUUGAAAGGAUGACGAAUACUCGGAUAAUCGAGUAAGACAACUCGUUUCCUAAUAAUCAGGAAAGGGAAUAGAAGACUCUAGACCACUUUCUAUUUCAUCUGAGUAUUUAUGAAAAUAAGGUUGUAUAUUGUUGACGUAUUUUGGAAUGAACGACAAGUACUUGAAUGACUAAGUAAGACAACUCAUAUCCAAGCAUUUGAGAAGAUGAGUUGACAACUCAAAACCAUCUCCUUUUUCGUACAGUUUGUUAAGAAAAUGAUUUGAUUAAGUUGCGGAAAAUGAAAAUUGUUCGAUUGACCGAGUAAGAGAACUCGUAUUCGUCCAAUUGAGGAGUGAAAUUGAAAACUCAAAGUCAACUCCCUUUUAAUUUAGCUUACUGUGAAGAUAUUUUGAUUUAAUCGGGGUUUAGAAAUUUGUAGAGGAAUGACAAUUAUUUGACUAAUCAAGUAAGAGAACUUGUAUUCAAAUAAUCGAGGAGAGAAAUUUAAGACUCAAAGUUAUCUCCCUCUUUAUUUCUUAUUGUAAAAGAAUUUGAUGUAUUUGUUCUUAAGUGGAUUAGAAAUGAUGAUUAUUCAAUUAAUCGAGUAAAAGAGUUCGUGCUUAAAUAAUCGAGGAGAGGAGUUGAAAACUCAAAACCAUUACCUCUUUUAUUCCUAAGUGAAAUAAUGUUUAAUUAUGAUUAGGUAUUUUAAUUCUUAAUAAAGAAUACUCGAUGUUGGAUCGAGAUUUUAAAUUUGCAUUUUAUGAAUGAAUUGAAUUUAUUUAGUGAAUAGUUCAUCUAAUCGAUUAAUAAUAACCGAAUAGGUCUCAUUGUAAGAAGGCCCAAGAGUAAGCCAUGUGAGGUUGAUGGCGAUGCUUUUACAAGCGAUCAACUUACAAAGGUGUUUUGAAAAUGGGCUCGACUUUAAAUUGAGAAAUAUGUGAUUUAUUUUUGAAAUUGGUUUAAAUGAUUUUAAAUCGGUGAAAUUGACAUAACCUUCCCACAAUUAUAACAUGUCAUCCAUAUGCACUUGAGACUCGGUAUAAAUAAAUAAAUACAAAAUAAUCAUGCACAUACCCUCCAUAAAAAAACAAACAAUUAUCUAAAUUAUAAGUGACCUUAAUAAUAAUAUAAUUAAUUGAUUAAAUAUUUAGUAGAUUAUUUUGAUUAAAUAAUAAGUAAUUAAAAAAUGAUGAUAUAACCAAAUAAUUGCAUAUUUACCAUUAAAUAUUAAUUAUAAUAAUAACAAUAUAAUUGCAUAUUUACUAUUAAGUACUACUACUACUACUAAUAAUAUAUAAUUAUAACUUUGAAAGAAAGUAAAUAAAAUAAAAUAUUGCUUUUUAUUUGAUAGCCAUAAAAUUCUAGUGUAUAUUUUUUAUAUGUAUAUAAAUAAAAGAAAAUAAGUGAAUAAAUUAAAAAAAAUAAAGAAAAUGGGCCAAGCAAGAGAAGAGCCCAACUCUGGGCGCUGCUGGAAAUAGAACAGGGGAUUUAUUAGCAAAAAAUCUUUGGGCCCAACCCUGAGUUGGCCCAAAACGAAACCAUCAAGGCCCUGAAUGGCUUGGUCAAACAUUGACCUCCUAUGGAGAUGUUUGGGCCCUUAGAUCAGUGGACUAUGACCUGGUCAACGAAUCCAAAGGGAGGCUUGUGAGGGCGCACCAUUAUAUGGUGGGGGGAUCCACACAGGAUCCCCUGGUUGACCUAGGAGUCAACCAACCAUGUGGCGCUAGCAGAAAGGGCCAUGUGGCGCCCAUGCAGCCACUCUCAUUUGUAUAUAAAAACAAAAAAUUGAGAGAGAAAGCCAUUUGCUCAUCUCGUUCUCUCUCUUCACUCUUAAGAAUGAAGUUGCUUUUCAACUUCCUUUUCUUCUCCAUCACCACCCCUCACGGCCAAACCUGCCGAAGAAGACGGUGGCGGUCGGCCAACCGCGGUAGCGCCGCCCUCUUCUCCGGCGACUCUCCACCCAAAACCCAAACCUUUAAACACGAACCCCACUUGUUUUUGGCCGGUGAUUUCAAAUUCGGCCUUGUUUUUCUACGAAUCCUUCUCAAAUGGCCGGAUCGAGGCCCUCCUUCAAAACACAAACCUAAAACCUAACCCUAAACUCUCUCUCUCUCUCUCUCACGCGGCCAACACACCCUAGUUCAUCAUAUCCUAAAUACCAACCAAUAUCCUAACCCUAAACUUUGAGUUUUAAGACUCUACAGUUGCGCUUUGAAGAAAAUAAAAGAGGGAUUUCAAUCCAUGUGGAAAAAUGAAGAUGAUGGUACAAAUGAUUUAAACGAGAACGAAAAUUUUACUUGGUUGGAGUUAGACGCCGACGACGUCUCCCCACCGUUCAAGAUGAGUCUUUUUUUCUUCCUUUUUAUGCUCUUUGUCUUUCUCUAUUUUCGUUUUGAAUCAUGUUGUUGUUUUGUUUGAAUCUUAGGGUUUGGAUUUUUUAUGAAUUAUUUUUUAUUGUUGCUUUCUUGGAUUUUUCAGAAUGUGUUGUUCGUUUGGUUUGAGGUUAAUAGAGAAAAAUAUUUUGAUUGUUUUGUCUUGGAUUUUUUAAAAACGUUCUUACUGUUAAUUUUGUUCUGGGUAUUUAUAUGUUGAUUUUUAGAUCUUAAGACAACUUGUUAAGUUAUCUCUUCCAGAUUUCAUGGGAUAAUUAUUCUAUGGAUUUAAGGUUGUCUGGAUUAGAUAUUGGAACACAUCCUUGGGUGUUUACUUUGGUUUACUGUGCAAAGAAUUAAUCUGUCCCUCUUAUCAAUUGUUUUUCAGUUUUUUAUAAGUGCUUAUUUGAUAAGCUCUUCUUAAUCUUUGAAUUGGUUUUGCAGGUUUUGUAAAAGGUGAAUGGACAUUGAUUGAAAAGGGGGCCUGCGCUUACUUUAGGGAUUGGAAUUGGGCGCUGUGAAUUUCAAAAAGCUUUUGGAAAAGUCUUUGAAGAGCUGCUUCAAACUGCUGUAUUCUACCGUUUGUUUCCAACUUUUUCAACUUUAUUUAGAUGUACUCAGAACUUUUGGACAAUGUAUAAGAAUUUGGGGACUGUUUGUAAUACGUACAAAUUUAAUUUGAAACUUAUUUUUUGGAUAGUUAUAUAACUAUUUUGGAUUAUUUGGAAUUUGGAAUUAAUUAUGUAACUUUGGAUUAUUGUGAAUUUCUUGGACUAUUUGGAAUUUUGGACUAUGCAUCUAAUUAUGCAAUUAAUCAUUUUUAACAUUUUAAAUCUUGCCUUAACAAUUUAAUUGUAUUAAUCAAAAGAAAGUUUAAACUAUAUCUCGAACUGAAAAUGGAUUGGGCCAAAAUGCAAUUUAAUGGAUUUUUAACUUGGUCAACUUUAGCACAUUAAUAUUAACCAAAAUAAAAUGUGCCAAAAGGCCUAAAAUAAAACAUGUCACAAAAAAUAUUGCAAUUUCAAACUUUGAUCAUAAAAACCAAUCAAAUACUCAUACAUGUGGUAUCUUGAUCUAAACCAACAUACUUAUACUUAGAAAAGAUGCAAGUUUAGUUUAAGGUUUUUUAUGAAUGGUUUAGAGAUUUGGCAUAUAUAUUUGAGAUGUGCAAAUGAGUUUAAUGACAAGUGAUCAUAAUCAUGUCUCUUAAUACUUACUGAUAAUCAAAUGGACUUUGGAUAAGUGACGUAAAAAGAUUUGAACCACACUUUUCAAUAUUAAUUAUGGACAUGUCUAUGUGAAUGGGCCUUUUGAAACAAAGAGAUCUCAUGGAUAAACCAAAAUGGGCCUUGUUAACCAAAAAUGCACAUACCAUCCCAUGCUUUAGUAAGAGACAAAUGCAACAGAUAUCUUCUUAAGGAUCUCAACAGAUAAAAAUGUCAUUGAAGACUUGAUGUCACCAAGGACUGAAAAACCCUAAAAUAGAACCUACAUCUUAAGAUAAAAUUCAUGUUAUAACAUUGGGUAGUGAAUGCAGGUUGAAGAUUUUUCCUUACCCGGACAAAAUUAGGGUAUGACAGCUGCCCCUAUUUAAUUAUCUCGAACCGAAAAGUAAGAAUGAUAGCAGUCUUCGUGCAUUCGCGGUGGGAGAUAAUUAAAUACAAAAAGACCCAAAUUUUGUCCUAGGAAAUGCAAAGAAGAAAAUAUAGGAAGAAAAUGCAGUGAGAAAUGGUAAAAGAAAUUAUCCUACAGUAAAAUGGAACAGUCAAGACCUUCUGAGAGUUGUCAGAACAGUAUCUUGGACAUCUCAGUCGAGAUAUGUUAGUAAUGGAAUGACAUCCCUAGCUAAACCUUAAGACUUUUUCUAGGAUGCUAGAAUAAUAUAAAGAAAAUCUGGCAUGAGACUCUUCAUUUUGAUGAAGCAGCAUCUCAAAUAGUAAAAAUGAGAUUCUCUGUAUCGGGUCGAAACAGCAUCUUAUAUGAUAGAAUUAAGAUAUUCCAGCAAAGAAAAAAUACCUUAAUUGAAUCUAAGACUCUCCGAGGAUACUAGAGUAGUAUCUCCAAAAAGAAUCUGAAAUAAGACUCUUCAUAUUGAUGAAGCAACAUCUCAAACAAUAAAAAUGAGAUUCUCUGUAUCGAGUCGAAACAACAUCUUAUAUGAUAGAAUUAAGAUAUUCCAGCAAGGAAAAAAUACCUUAAUUGAAUCUAAGACUCCCCGAGGAUAUUAGAGCAGUAUCUCUACAAGAAAAAUCUGAAAUGAGACUCUUCAUAUUGAUGAAGCAGCAUCUCAAAUAGUAAAAAUGAGAUUUUUUGUAUCGAGUCGAAACGACAUCUUAUAUGAUAGAAUUAAGAUAUUCCAGCAAGAAAAAAUACCUUAAUUGAAUCUAAGACUCUCCGAGGAUAUUAGGGCAGUAUCUCUAAAAGAAAAUCUGAAAUGAGACUCUUCAUAUUGAUGAAGCAGCAUCUCAAACAGUAAAAAUGAGAUUCUCUGUAUCGAGUCGAAACAUCAUCUUAUAUGAUAGAAUUAAGAUAUUCCAGCAAGAAAAAAAUACCUUAAUUGAAUCUAAUACUCUCCGAGGAUAUUCGAGCAGUAUCUCUAAAAGAAAAUCUGAAAUGAGACUCUUCAUAUUGAUGAAGCAGCAUCUCAAACAGUAGAAAUGGGAUUCUCUGUAUCGAGUCGAAACAUCAUCUUAUAUGAUAGAAUUAAGAUAUUCCAACAAGGAAAAAAUACAUUAAUUGAAUCUAAGACUCUCCGAGGAUAUUAGAACAGUAUCUCUAAAAGAAAAUCUGAAAUGAGACUCUUCAUAUUGAUGAAGCAGCAUCUCAAAAAGUAAAAAUGAGAUUCUCUGUAUCGAGUCGAAACAUCACCUUAUAUGAUAGAUAUAAGAUAUUCCAGCAAUUAAAAAAUACCUUAAUUGAAUCUAAGACUCUCCGAGGAUAUUAGAGCAGUAUCUCUAAAAGAAAAUAUGAAAUGAGACUCUUCAUAUUGAUGAAGCAGCAUCUCAAAUAGUAAAAAUGAGAUUCUCUGUAUCGAGUCGAAACAACAUCUUAUAUGAUAGAAUUAAGAUAUUCUAGCAAGGAAAAAAAUACCUUAAUUGAAUCUAAGAUUCUCCGAGGAUACUUAGAGCGGUUUCUCAAGCAAAUAAAUGAGACUCUUCAGAUAAAUGAAGCGGUAUCUCAAACAAAUAAAUGAGAUUCUUCAGAUAAAUGAAGUAGUAUCUCAAAUGUUCGUCUGUUGGGGGAUUUUUUUUUUGAAAAGACUCCUUUUGGAGGAAAUAUAUUGGCAAAACUCUGCAGGGGAAAAGCUCAUAAGAGACUUUUUUAUGGUAACCUCUGCUUGGGAAACAAUGAUUGUAAAGAAAAAUGCUAGGAAUAUCAUUAUUAAUCAUAAAGUUGAAAAAUGAUUUGUUGAGAAAUAAUCCCACGAGCAUAUGCAGGGUAAUUACUUCAUUUGGAAAUGAGAAAUGUCUAAGAUACACAUGAAUGACCUUGGAUCCUGAUAUUUUAUAUUUGAUUUUUGUAUGACGUUCCACUUUAGGUGGGAAUUCCAUGCAUGGGAUGAUGCAUGAGAUGCAUGCAAGUAUGCAAUUGCCGGGGAUAUUUGGCUGGGCAUGUAGGAAUGCGAAUGAUUUUUUUAUUUUGUCAAAAUUCCAGUCUUGUGGGGAGUUUUUAUGCAUGCAUAUGUUGAUGAUUGGUAUGACUAUGUUAAUUUCCUGUUUGGUAGGAAGACCAUUUAUGAAUGAUUUAUAUGAUGCAUGUUAGAAUGCAAAUGGGUAAUUGGAUAUGCCCCGGUUAAGACGUUUUUGCUUUGGGGUAUGAUGCCAAUAAUGUGGAUUUUUGUUAUUUGGGGCGAUUAAUGAAGAUCAAGUUUUGAUGCCCCACUAGGUGAUUUUGGGAAUAUAUUUGGGUUGCUCCAAGUUACCGAGGGGUUCAAACUUCUCAACACGCGAUACUCCAUCUAUGAUUUAUCAAUGUUUCUGCUGGAAACGUAAUGGAGCCUUGCCCCAGUUUGGCUAUACCAUGAGUAUAUUUAUGAGAGGUGUGAAUUAAUGGUUGAAAGGAACAUAGGUAUCUGCAAACAGUCCUACACCUUUAUGAAAAACAAGAAUGAACUUGGAGACUAAAGGAUUUGUCCGCUUACUGUUUCAAAAGAAAUUUUACCACUUUAUUCAAACAUGUGUUUUAUUUUCUCCAAUAAUUUUUAAAAGUGAUGUUUAUCAAAAAUAAAAUAUGCUUUGCAAACAAACAGAUAAAAUACAAAAAAAUGAUUUGGGCAUAUUGUGUUGAGAAAAUAUCUCUUUUAUUGACUUGACCCUUAAAUGGGCGAUUGUACAUAAAGAUGCAAUUCCUUAAUGAGGUAAUUGUUGUGCAUAGAAACAAAAUGGCAAUGAAAAUUGAGUUCUUAUUGAGUUCCCACACUGCUAUGAUCUUUAUGUCUUUGAUAGUCCGAGCACUUUGCUUUUGAAAAGUAAGGUAGAUUGAUUCUUUGUCUUCGAGGGAUAUGUUAGACACCUGAAAGUACAACUCUUUGCCUUGGAAUUAAUCCCUAACUUUUGCAUGGACCGCCCUUUCGGGUUUUUGAUCCACUGGGAUACCCUUUUUUUGCCUGAAUCUGCCUUUCGGGUUUUCAACUCAGCGGGUCAAUUCUUUUACUUUUAUCCCUAAUUUUUGCCUGGAUCGCCCUUUCGGGUUUUCAAUCCACCGGGAUAGCCAUUUUUGCCUAAAUCUCCCUUUCAGGUUUUCGAUUUAGCGGCUUUUAUUAUUCCACUUUUUUUAGGCGAAGUACUUUUUAACAGCAUCAAUGUUGGUGGGAAGCGGCAACUCAUCACCAUCCAUAGUAGCUAGAAUCAGAGCGCCUCCGGAAAAGGCUCUAACCACCACAAAUGGACCUUCAUAGUUUGGUGUCCAUUUCCCUCUAGAGUCUUUGUGAAUAGGCAAGAUUUUCUUCAGCACCUAAUCUCCCUCUUGAAACACCCUGGGCAGAACUUUCUUGUCGAAUGCCUUCUUAAGACGCCUCUAAUAGAGUUGACCGUGACCUAAUGCUUUCAAGUGUUUCUCCUCAAUAAGGUUGAGCUCGUCGUACCUUGAUUGAACCCAUUCUGCCUCGUCUAGCUUAGCCUCCAUCAAGACUCUCAUUAAUGGGAUCUCCACUUCUAUAGGGAGAACUGCUUCCAUACCGUAUACCAAGGAAUAAGGGGUUGCCCCUGUUGAAGUUCGUACCGACGUGCGAUAACCAUGUAAUGCAAAAGGUAAUAUCUCAUGACAAUCCUUGUACGUGACAACCAUCUUUUGGAUGAUUUUCUUGAUAUUUUUAUUUGCAGCUUCGACAACCCCAUUCAUCUUAGGUCGAUAGGGUGAUGAGUUGUGAUGCUUGAUCUUGAACAUUGUGCAUAACUCCUCCAUGGUCUUUUUGUUGAGAUAGGACCCGUUAUCAGUGAUGAUUUUGUUGGGAAUCCCAUAUCGACAUAUGAUGUUGUUUUUUAAGAAACGGGCGACUACGUGCUUCGUCACAUCCGCGUAAGAUGCGGCUUCCACCCAUUUGGUGAAGUAGUCUAUGACCACCAAGAUAAAUCUGUAUCCAUUAGAUGCUUUGGGUUCUAUCAUCCUAAUCAUGUAGAUGCCCCACAUAGAGAAAGGCCAAGGUGAUGCUAUAACAUUCAACGGGGUAGGCGAUACAUGUAUUUUGUCAGCAUAGGUUUGGAAUUUGUGGCAUGUUCUGGUGUAAUGGUAACAAUCAUCUUCCAUCGUCAACCAGUAGUAACCUGCCCUUAGGAUUUUCUUCGCCAUGGCAUACCCAUUGGCGUGCGUACCGAAAGACCCUUCAUGUAUGUCCCUCAUAAGCUGAUCCGCUUCGUGUUUGUCCACACACCUUAAUAAAACCAUGUCAUAGUUUUGCUUAUACAACACCUCUCUGUUCAAAAGGAACUUUGAUGCCAUCUUCCGGAGGGUCCUUUUGUCAAGGAUGGAAGCCUCUGCCGGAUAUUCCCGCUUCUCCAGAUACCGUUUGAUAUCAAAGAACCGGGGUUUACCAUCUAGCUCUUCUGUUGUCGUCAGGCAAUGAGCAGGUUCGUCAAAACGCCUAAUUUCAAUGUGAGGCUGAUGGUUGGGCCAUAUAAAUUUGUACAUGGAAGCCCAAGUUGCUAAAGCAUCUGCCAUCUGAUUCUCUUCUCGAGGAAUAUGAGAGAAAGUGAUUUUGUCUAACUUUGGGAGUAGCUUCAGCACGUAAUCCUGGUAUGGAAUUAGGUUAGCAUGUCUUAUUUCCCACUCGCCUCUAAUCUAAUGUAUGACUAGCGCGAAGUCCCCGAAUACUUCUAGUACCUUGAUCUUUAACUCAAUGGCUUCUUCCAACCCUAAUAUGAAAGCUUCAUACUCGGCCAUGUUAUUUGUGCAGGUAAAAUAGAGCUUUGUGGUGAAUGGUAGAUGGAAAUUCUUGGGAGACAUCAUCACUGCCCCAAUUCCAUGGCCUAUUGCAUUUGAGGCACCAUCAAACAUGAGCGUCCAGCCUGCUCUUGACUCAAGACUUUUCUCUAGUUCGGAGUCUUCAACAUCCUUAACAACCAUGAUGUUCUCAUUUGGGAAGUCAAAUUUCAAAGAUUGGUAAUCUUCCAGUGGUUGGUGAGCAAGGUGGUAUGCUAAUAUGCUUCCUUUGAUCGCCUUUUGCGCACCAUAUUGGAUAUCGUAUUCUGACAACAACAUCUGCCACAGGGCAAUUCUACCAGUGAGAGUUGUUUUCUCGAAUAUGUACUUGAUGGGAUCCAUUUUAGACACCAACCAUGUCGUGUGAGUUAGCAUGUACUGCCUGAGACGCUUAACGGCCCAUGCGAGUGCACAACAAGUCUUCUUGAGUAAUCAAUAUCUGGUCUCACAAUCAUUAAAUUUCUUGCUCAGAUAAUAUAUGGCAUAUUCUUUUCUACCAGUCUCAUCUUGUUGUCCCAAUACACAACCCAUGGACUCGUCGAGCACAGUUAGAUAUAUGAUGAGAGGUCUCCCUUCUGCAGGGGGCAUCAGAAUUGGUGGCUCUUGCAAGUAUUCUUUAAUUUUAUCGAAGGCUAUUUGACAGUCAUCGUUCCACUCUACGCCUUGAUUCUUCCUCAUGAUCUUGAAUAUUGGUUUAUAUGUUGCAGUAAGGUGAGAGAUAAAUCUGGCGAUGUAAUUUAGCCUUCCCAAGAAACCAUGAACCUCCUUCUCAGUCCUUGGUGCAGGCAUGUUCUGAAUGGCUCGAACCUUGUCAGAAUCUACUUCAAUUCCUCUUUGGCUUACAAUAAAGCCUAAAAGCUUCCCAGAUCGAACCCCAAAUGUGCAUUUGUUAGGAUUAAGUCUUAACCUAAACUUCCUCAAACGAGCAAAUAGUUUCCCCAGGUUGGUGAUAUGUUCUUCUUCUGUAUGGGAUUUGGCAAUCAUGUCAUCGACUUACACCUCAAUCUCUUCAUGAAUCAUGUCAUGAAAGAGAGUCACCAUGGCACGUUGAUAUGUUGCCCCAACGUUCUUUAAUCCAAACGGUAUUACUUUGUAACAAAAGGUGCCCCAAGAGGUAAUGAAUGUGGUCUUCUCCAUGUCCUCGGGAUCCAUUUUAAUUUGGUUGUAUCCUCGAAGAGUCUUAGAUUCAAUUAAGGUAUCAUUCCCUUGUUCGGAAUAUCUUAAUUCUAUCAUAUAAGAUGUUGCUUCGACUCGAUACAGAGAAUCUCAUUUUCUUUACUGUUUGAGAUGCUGCUUCAUCAAUAUGAAGAGUCUCAUCCCAGAUUUCUCUAAGAGAUACUGCUCUAGUAUCCUUGAAAAGUCUUAGAUUCAAUUAAGGCAACAUUCCCUUGUUCGAAAUAUCUUAAUUCUAUCGUAUAAGAUGCUGCUUCGACUCGAUAUAGAGAAUCUCAUUUUCUUUACUGUUUGAGAUGCUGCUUCAUCAAUAUGAAGAGUCUCAUCCCAUAUUUCUCUAAGAGAUACUGCUCUAGUAUCCUCGAAGAGUCUUAGAUUCAAUAAAGGCAUCAUUCCCUUGUUCGAAAUAUCUUAAUUCUGUCGUAUAAGAUGCUGCUUCAACUCGAUAUAGAGAAUAUCAUUUUCUUUACUGUUUGAGAUGCUGCUUCAUCAAUAUGAAGAGUCUCAUCCCAAAUUUCUCUAAGAGAUACUGCUCUAGUAUCCUCGAAGAGUCUUAGAUUCAACUAAGGUAUCAUUCCUUUGUUCGGAAUAUCUUAAUUCUAUCGUAUUAGAUGCUGCUUCGACUCGAUAUAGAGAAUCUCAUUUUCUUUACUGUUUGAGAUGCUGCUUCAUCAAUAUGAAGAGUCUCAUUCUAGUUUUUUCUAGAGAUAUUGCUCUAGUAUCCUCGAAGAGUCUCAGAUUCAAUUAAGGUAUCAUUCCCUUGUUCGGAAUAUCUUAAUUCUAUCGUAUAAGGUGCCGUUUUGUCUCGAUACAGAGAAUCUCACUUUUACUGUUGAGAUGCUGCUUCAUCAAUAUGAAGAGUCUCAUGCCAAUUUUUUUUAGAGGUAUUGCUCUAACAUCCUGAAAAAGUAUUGAGAUUUAGCUGAGAUAUCAUUCCAUUACUAACGUAUCUCGAAUAUGACGUCCAAGAUACUGUUCCGACGACUCCCAGAAAGUCUUGGUUGUCCCAUUUUUUACAUUAGGAUAAUUUCUCUUACUAUUUCUCACUGCAUUUUCUUCCUGUAUUUUAUUCCUUUCAUUUCCUAAGAUAAAAUUUGAGUCUUUCUUGUAUUUAAUUAUCUCCCACCGUGAAUGUACGAAAACUGAUGUCAUUCAUACUUUCCGGUUCGAGGUAAUUAAAUAGGGGCAGCUGUCAUACCCCAAUUUCGUCUGGGUAAGAAAAAUCUUUCACAAGCAUUCACCAACCAGAAGUUAUAAGGCAUAAACUCUAUCUUAGGGUUUCUCAGCCCUAAGCUACUCCAAGCUCUCCAUCCUUCCUAAAGGCACAUUCAAUACUCACAUGAUCAUUAUAAAGAAAACCCUCAGUGGCAUUAAACUUUCAACAAAUCUUUCAGUGGCAUUUCAUCUGUUAAGUUCCUUGUUCAUGACCCAAGAAAACAUCUGUUGCGUUUGUCUCUUAUAGCUGUUACUAAAGCAUGGGAUGGUAUGCGCAUUUUGGGACUUGUUGGUUAUAAAAGGCCCAUUUUUGGUUUAUCCAUAAGACCUUUUGGUUUAAAAAGCCCACUCCUAUCAACAUAUUGAAAGUUCAAAGUAUAGUUCAAAUCUUUUUUUUUACACAUACUAAUCCAAGUCCACUCUCUUAUUAGAAAGUAUUAAAAGCCAUGUUAUUUUUUAUGAUCACUUGAUUAGCCCAAGUUUGCAAGCCCAUUUUCACAUCCCAAAUAUUUGUGCCAAAUUUUAAGUCCUUCAUAGGUCCCUAAAUUAAAUUUGCGUUAUAAAAGCCAUGUUAUUUUUUAUGAUCACUUGAUUAGCCCAAGUUUGCAAGCCCAUUUUCACAUCCCAAAUAUUUGUGCCAAAUUUUAAGUCCUUCAUAGGUCCCUAAAUUAAAUUUGCGUUUUUGAAGCAUGUAUGUGUUGGGUCUAAGCUAAGUCACCAUAUUUAGACUCAUGUUCCAAGAUCCUUUGUUGGUUUCGUGGUUGGAGUUGAACUUUCCAUGCUUAUGAUGUGCAUUUCAUCUUGUUCUUUUAGUUAUAUGAUUAUUUAGCCAAUAAUAAAUAUACUAAGGGAAACCAAUUUGAAUGUUCAUUCUUAUAUUUAUGGUGGUCCAAACAAGUUUUCAAAUGAAAUAUUAAGAUAAGAUUUGAGUGUUUAAAAAAAACUUGAUUACAUAAGCAAGUUCUAAUCUAGGAUAUUAUAAGAUAGUCCAAAGGUUAAUACACAUUAUCCAAAAAAUACAAAGUGUUACAAUUGAAUAAACAAGGUUAUGCUGCAUAUCCAGCUAUUGAAAACAGAGCCUUCAAAGAAACCAUUUCCAAAAGACCAUCCUUUGGAUUGAAGCACCCUAAACCAAAUUCCCUCAUGGAAU
rnacentral:lncRNA from 1 species